AAUAAAACAACACUAUUACAAAGAUAGACAGUGAGAUAUAGAUAAUGA
rnacentral:guide_RNA from 1 species